GAAAUGCGAUAAGUAGUGUGAAUUACAGAAUUCAGUGAAUCAUCGAAUCUUUGAACGCACAUUGCGCCCCUUGGUAUUCCAUGGGGCAUGCCUGUUCGAGCGUCAUUUGUACCCUCAAGCUCUGCUUGGUGUUGGGUGUUUGUCCCCGUCUCCGCGCGUGGACUCGCCCCAAAGUGAUUGGCAGCCGGCGUACUGGUCCCGGAGCGCAGCACAUGUCGCGCAAACGAGUGCCUUGGUACGGCGGCGUCCAUAAGCCCCUCUCUCACGCUCUUGACCUCGGAUCAGGUAGGGAUUCCCGCUGAACUUAAGC
rnacentral:misc_RNA from 1 species